GAUGAAGAACGCAGCGAAAUGCGAUAAGUAAUGUGAAUUGCAGAAUUCAGUGAAUCAUCGAAUCUUUGAACGCACAUUGCGCCCGCCAGCAUUCUGGCGGGCAUGCCUGUUCGAGCGUCAUUUCAACCCUCAAGCUCUGCUUGGUGUUGGGGCCCUACGGUUGAUGUAGGCCCUUAAAGGUAGUGGCGGACCCUCUCGGAGCCUCCUUUGCGUAGUAACUAACGUCUCGCAUUGGGAUUCGGAGGGACUCUUGCCGUAAAACCCCCAAAUUUUCUAAUGGUUGACCUCGGAUCAGGUAGGAAUACCCGCUGAACUUAAGCAUAUCAAUAAGCGGAGGA
rnacentral:misc_RNA from 1 species